GAUGAACGCUGGCGGCGUGCCUAAUACAUGCAAGUCGAGCGAACGGACGAGAAGCUUGCUUCUCUGUUGUUAGCGGCGGACGGGUGAGUAACACGUGGAGAACCUACCUAUAAGACUGGGAUAACUUCGGGAAACCGUAGCUAAUACCGGAUAAUAUUUUUAACCGUAUGGUUUAAAAUUGAAAGACGGACUUGCUUUCACUUAUGGAUGGAUCGGCGCUGCAUUAGCUAGUUGGGAAGUUAACGGUUUACAAAGGCAACGAUCCAUAGCCGACCGGAGAGGUGGACCGCCCAAACGGGACCUGAGCAACGGCCAAGCCCCCUACGGGAGCCAGCAGUAGGGAAUCUCCGGCAAUGAGCGAAAGCCUGCCGGACAACCGCGCCGUGAGUGAUGAAGGUCUUCGGAUCGAAAAACUUUGUUAUUAGGGAAGAACAUAUGUGUAAGUAACUGUGCACCUAUUGACGGUACCUAACCAGAAAGCCACGGCUAACUACGUG
rnacentral:rRNA from 1 species